rnacentral:rRNA from 1 species
AUGCACGCUGGCGGCGUGCCUAAUACAUGCCAGUCGAGCGAACGGACGAGAAGCUUGCUUCUCUGAUGUUAGCGGCGGACGGGUGAGUAACACGUGGAUAACCUACCUAUAAGACUGGGAUAACUUCGGGAAACCGUAGCUAAUACCGGAUAAUAUUUUGAACCGCAUGGUUCAAAAGUGAAAGACGGUCUUGCUGUCACUUAUAGAUGGAUCCGCGCUGCAUUAGCUAGUUGGUAAGGUAACGGCUUACCAAGGCAACGAUGCAUAGCCGACCUGAGAGGGUGAUCGGCCACACUGGAACUGAGACACGGUCCAGACUCCUACGGGAGGCAGCAGUAGGGAAUCUUCCGCAAUGGGCGAAAGCCUGACGGAGCAACGCCGCGUGAGUGAAGAAGGUCUUCGGAUCGUAAAACUCUGUUAUUAGGGAAGAACAUAUGUGUAAGUAACUGUGCACAUCUUGACGGUACCUAAUCAGAAAGCCACGGCUAACUACGUG